UAAGGAAUAUUGCUCAAUGGGAGAAAUCCUGAAGCAGCAACGCCGCGUGGAGGAUGAAGGGUCUAUGACUUGUAAACUCCUGUAAAGAAGGAAAAAAUUCCCAUUUGAUGGGAGAUGAUGGUACUUCUGGAGUAAGCCCCGGCUAACUACGUGCCAGCAGCCGCGGUAAUACGUAGGGGGCAAGCGUUGUCCGGAUUUACUGGGUGUAAAGGGUGCUCAGGCGGAUUUGUAAGUCAGAGGUGAAAUCUUACAGCUUAACUGUGAAACUGCCUUUGAUACUGCAAGCCUAGAGUAUGGAAGAGAGUGAUGGAAUAUCUGGUGUAGCAGUGAAAUGCGUAGAUAUCAGAUAGAACACCGAUGGCGAAGGCAGUCACUUGGUCCAUUACUGACGCUAAAGCACGAAAGCGUGGGUAGCAAACA
rnacentral:rRNA from 1 species